UAGGGAAUCUUGCGCAAUGGGCGAAAGCCUGACGCAGCAACGCCGCGUGGGGGAUGAAGGCCUCGGGUUGCAAACUCCUUUCAGUGGGAACGAAAAUGACGGUACCCACAGAAGAAGCCCCGGCCAACUACGUGCCAGCAGCCGCGGUGAUACGUAGGGGGCGAGCGUUGUCCGGAUUCAUUGGGCGUAAAGAGCUCGUAGGCGGUUUGAUUAGUCGGGUGUGAAACCUCCAGGCUCAACCUGGAGACGCCACUCGAUACUGUCAUGACUAGAGUCCGGUAGGGGACCAUGGAAUUCCUGGUGUAGCGGUGAAAUGCGCAGAUAUCAGGAGGAACACCAGUAGCGAAGGCGGUGGUCUGGGCCGGUACUGACGCUGAGGAGCGAAAGCGUGGGGAGCGAACAGGAUUAGAUACCCCCAGUAGUCCU
rnacentral:rRNA from 1 species